UUUUCUUAGUUCGAGGAAUUAAUUCAAAAACCCCAUUGUUAGGGUUAUUGUUUUUCCUUAAACGACGUUACUCUCCCGUCGUUAUCUCUCAUCCAAGAACGACCGGAUCGUCUUCUUCUUGGACUUCAACGUCAUCAGACCAGCCACCUCCAUCGAUCAGACCGGCUUCGUCUCCAGACUAGACCGCCGUCGUCUUCCUUGAUUCAGACCCAAUCACCUUCUUUCUGCAACAGAUUCGGCAUCAAACCAGAUCGUCGUCCAUCCUCCAUCGCCCAAACCCGGCAUCAGAUCCGUCGUAUCCGCUGUUGCUACUCUAGUCCAGUCGCUCGUCUUCAGCCCAAGAUCGCCGUCACUCAUCGUGCCCAGUCGGCUUCGUCUUCAGCCCGAGACCGCCGCCGCCAUCUCUCAUCAACCCAGAUCGGCGUCAUCCUCUCUUGAUCCAGCCCGGCGUCGUUCUUGGUUACCAGCCCAGAAUCGUUCCUCCUCCUUGAUUACUAGACCGGCGUCUGCAAUCAAAGCUUCUGCAGUCAAAGCGACCGGACCCGAGCUACAAGGCGACACGUGCAACAAGUCAACCCGACCCGUGCAACAGGUUCCAAAAAAAAAAAAAAAAACUGCAUGUUCUAUUAUUAUUCUUUUUAAGUCUUUUGUCUGUUUUCCGCUGCAUACUUUGGGAUUUGUGUGUUGUUUGCUAUUGUCCUAUGGCAAUGGGUGGUGAUGACAGUGAAGGUCAGAGUUCCAAGAUCCAUGAGGUCCAGAAGGUUGAGGUUUCUGUCCCACAAGGCUUCACCAACCGCCCUUGUCCUCAAUGCUCUUAUUGCAAUGACCUUGGACAUGUUCGAGAGACUUGUUGGAAGCUGAACGGGUACCCUAAAAAGAAGGGUUAUCGUCCUAAAGCGAAGGCAGCUGCGGUUCAGCUAGUCCACGAACCAGACUUUUAUGGUGUGGCCGGACAGGAUCAUCGUACGACAGGUGGGGCUACUCCUACAGCCUCUAUAGUUGGUCGUGGAUCUUCUCACCAGGGAGGUAAUCGGUCGGGGGUAUCUGAGGGGCAGGUUGUUCCAUCUGGAUCAGACAUACGCAGGGGAGAAACCAGGAGCACAGUCCCGCGCCGCUUUGACUUCGAGUUCUGAUAAGCUAAGUGAAAUUUGGUUGUGGCAUCGCCGUUUAGGGCAUCCCUCUUUUAGUCUCAUGAGAAAAACCAUGCCUACUUUGUUUAUUGGUGUGGAUGAGUCUGUCUUACAUUGUGAAAUAUGUGUUUUGGCCAAGAGUCAUCGUGCUACUUAUUCUCCUAGUAUUUCUAAUAAGAGUGUUAUUCCUUUGAGUUGAUUCAUUCUGAUGUUUGGGGACCUUCUAGAGAGCCUACCGUAUCGGGUAUGAGAUACUUUGUGUUGUUUAUUGAUGAUUGUACGAGAUUGUCAUGGGUUGCUCUUCUUAAAACCAAAGAUGAAGUAUUUCCAGCUAGCUUUUCAAACCUUUCGCACUCUUGUUCAAACACAAUACCAUAGCACCAUUAAAGUUCUUCGUUCAGACAAUGGGGGAGAAUAUGUUAAUCAUGUUUUCCAUGAUUUUUUUAAAACCCAUGGGAUUGUUCACCUAGCUACAUGUCCACAAACACCAGAACAAAAUGGAGUGUCCGAAAGGAAAAACCGUCAUUUACUUGAUAUGGCUUGUGCCCUUCUUUUUAGUGCUCAUAUGCCUAAGUAUCUUUGGGGUGAUGCUGUAUAUGCUUCCUCCCAUCUUAUCAAUCGUCUUCCAUCUAGUGUCCUUCAGGGAAAAAUUCCCUUUGAGCUCCUUGGUUAUAAUUCCUUGUAUGCCGUGAUUCGGCUAAAAGCGCCAAAAUUUUCAGCCAAAUAUUAAACUUCCCUCUCGAAUGAAAAAGAGAUAGAAGGCCGGUCAAACUCUGCUCACUCUCUCCCUCUCUCUCUCAAAAUCUCCUCCCGCUCCAAAACCCUAACCAUUGCCGCCGCUCCUUCUCCUCCACUCGCAACCCAAUCCCAGCCGCCCAGCCUUCCCUCCUCGUCUUCUCCGGCGGAACCGCCUUCAACGGCGUCGUCGAGGAGCUCAAGAACUUCACCACUCGCGUCGCCCACUUGCUUCCCGUUUCAAAGCACUGCCGAGAUUGUCCGCGUCCUUGAGAUUGGCCGGUAAAAACACCUCCGAGGCAGUCGCCGUCCGGCAAUUGCUUGGCCGGCCAAAAUCUCAAACCAGCUCUCCACCUCCGCCAAAAUUAGGUCGCUCUCCGACCUCUCGAUCAUCAAAUCGGCCUCUGCCUUGCCUUUGCUCCUUGCAGCUCAGUUCGGUCAGUGAUCGAGGAUCGAGGGUUUUCAAUUUGAUUUUUUUUUUUUUUUGAAUUUGAUGCCAGCAUUCGUUCAAUUUAAUCCAUUUGUAUAUGUUAUUUGGUCGAUUUGGACUUGUAUAUCAGUUUAAUUUGAUUCUUUUCUUUUAAAUUUACUGAAUUGCAAUUUCAAGUUUGAAUUUUGAUCGCCUACUUGAAUUUGGUGAAUUUUGUUCAGGUGAUCUUAUAUUCCGUGCAGAAAAGAGACCUUCCUUGAUCUUAUUACUUCUGAUUUGGCCGAGUUCCAGUUUACAGAAGGUAGCCGGGAGCUCUGAGUACCAACUGGACUAGAGUGAGAUCAGUUCAUGGAACUGGCUUUGUACACCACAUAGCUAACUCAAAAGGCUUUGUACACCAUAUAUUCUAGUGGUUGAGCAUAUAUAUAUAUAGGGCAUGCACAUGUUAAGACCAGAUACAAAGCUGCUUUAUAAGUUGAAGCUUUUGUUGGUUCUCUUGCAAGGGAAACAAGAGUUAAGUAGGUGAAUAAAAGAAAAGAGAGAAAACAGAUCAUGUUUCUGAAUUGAUCAGCAGAUUAUGAGUUUACAAUUUAUUAUUAAAUUGUGUGGAAAGAAAUGGGCUGUCUACUAUUGCUUCAAGUAAGUCCAGAUUAUACUUUUGAUUUGCAGGGCAUGCAUACCUUUGUGUUGCUUAUGAUAUAUGUUUUGCUGCUAGUUGUGUGAUUAUGUUGGUGGCAAGACUCAUACUAUGCAUUAGAGUCAUUAAGCUUUAUUGGUUAUGUAGCUAAUGUUCCAUUCCUAGGUGUUUAUAUACAUAAC